AUUGAACGCUGGCGGCAGGCCUAACACAUGCAAGUCGAGCGGAGCGGCGGACGGGGGCGUAAUGCUAAGGCAUCUGCCUGGUAGUGGGGGAUAACGUCCGGAAACGGGCGCUAAUACCGCAUCCUAUCGGCCGAGCCUAGGUCGAAUUAGCAAGUGGGUGGGGUAAAGGCCUACAAAGGCGACGAUCCGUAACUGGUCUGAGAGGAUGAUCAGUCACACUGGAACUGAGACACGGUCCAGACUCCUACGGGAGGCAGCAGUGGGGAAUAUUGGACAAUGGGCGAAAGCCUGAUCCAGCCAUGCCGCGUGUGUGAAGAAGGUCUUCGGAUUGUAAAGCACUUUAAGUUGGGAGGCGUUACCAACAGAAUAAGCACCGGCUAACUUCGUGCCAGCAGCCGCGGUAAUUC
rnacentral:rRNA from 1 species